UGGCAAGAUAGUUAGGAAGUCCCUUGGCC
rnacentral:piRNA from 1 species